CGACCGGUCGUCUAGUGGACUAGGACACCGGCCUUUCAAGCCGGGAAUCGCGGGUUCGAAUCCCGCCCGGGCUACCA
rnacentral:tRNA from 1 species